UACGAAGGGGGCUGGCGUUGCUCGGAAUGACUGGGCGUAAAGGGCGCGUAGGCGGAUGGCACGGUCAGAUGUGAAAUUCCCGGGCUUGACCUGGGGGCUGCAUUUGAUACGUGUUGUCUUGAGUUCGGAAGAGGGUCGUGGAAUUCCCAGUGUAGAGGUGAAAUUCGUAGAUAUUGGGAAGAACACCGGUGGCGAAGGCGGCGACCUGGUCCGACACUGACGCUGAGGCGCGAAAGCGUGGGGAGCAAACAGG
rnacentral:rRNA from 1 species